rnacentral:rRNA from 1 species
AGAGUUUGAUCCUGGCUCAGAUUGAACGCUGGCGGCAUGCUUUACACAUGCAAGUCGGACGGCAGCACAGAGAAGCUUGCUUCUUGGGUGGCGAGUGGCGAACGGGUGAGUAAUAUAUCGGAACGUACCGAGUAAUGGGGGAUAACUAAUCGAAAGAUUAGCUAAUACCGCAUAUUCUCUGAGGAGGAAAGCAGGGGACCUUCGGGCCUUGCGUUAUUCGAGCGGCCGAUAUCUGAUUAGCUAGUUGGUGGGGUAAAGGCCUACCAAGGCGACGAUCAGUAGCGGGUCUGAGAGGAUGAUCCGCCACACUGGGACUGAGACACGGCCCAGACUCCUACGGGAGGCAGCAGUGGGGAAUUUUGGACAAUGGGCGCAAGCCUGAUCCAGCCAUGCCGCGUGUCUGAAGAAGGCCUUCGGGUUGUAAAGGACUUUUGUCAGGGAAGAAAAGGCUGUUGCUAAUAUCGACAGCUGAUGACGGUACCUGAAGAAUAAGCACCGGCUAACUACGUGCCAGCAGCCGCGGUAAUACGUAGGGUGCGAGCGUUAAUCGGAAUUACUGGGCGUAAAGCGAGCGCAGACGGUUACUUAAGCAGGAUGUGAAAUCCCCGGGCUCAACCUGGGAACUGCGUUCUGAACUGGGUGACUAGAGUGUGUCAGAGGGAGGUAGAAUUCCACGUGUAGCAGUGAAAUGCGUAGAGAUGUGGAGGAAUACCGAUGGCGAAGGCAGCCUCCUGGGAUAACACUGACGUUCAUGCUCGAAAGCGUGGGUAGCAAACAAGGAUUAGAUACCCUGGUAGUCCACGCCCUAAAC